rnacentral:rRNA from 1 species
CUUGGUCAUUUAGAGGAAGUAAAAGUCGUAACAAGGUUUCCGUAGGUGAACCUGCGGAAGGAUCAUUAACGAAAUCGGACUUCGGUCUGGUGACGUCUCUCUUGCUGUGCGCCUUUUGGCUGCACGCUUGGGAAUCCACACACCUGUGCACACUCGGUUGGCGGGCUUCGGCCCGCCUCUCGCCUACACUUACUUUGUAUGUCUCGAAUGUCUAUUAUCUUAUGAUAAAAAAAUACAACUUUCAGCAACGGAUCUCUUGGCUCUCGCAUCGAUGAAGAACGCAGCGAAAUGCGAUACGUAAUGUGAAUUGCAGAAUUCAGUGAAUCAUCGAAUCUUUGAACGCACCUUGCACCCCGUGGUUCUCCACGGGGUACGCCCGUUCGAGUGUCACGUAAACCAUCGCCUAAGCAAAGCUAGCUUUGCUCUGGCGGAUCUGGACGCCUGCCGUCGUUGGCUCGUCCGAAAUGCAUUAGCGAGGGUGGUCUCUCUAAACCGCUUGGCGUGAUAUUUCCUUCUCGCCUGUUGGUUCGGUCUAGGAGACGGCUCUGCUCCGAAUCCCGUCGCGUCGACGGAACAUUACAAAGUUUGACCUCGAAUCGGGUGGGACUACCCGCUGAACUUAAGCAUAUCAAUAAGCGGAGG